CAGGGCAGCGCAGUCGCAGCGGCAUGGCCACGCCACCAGGACACCAGGUGGCGCUCACCCCGGGGGGACUUGACGUUACCUACAAGUUCUCGCCGAACUGUUUGUUGGUGGUCGAAGGCGAUGGUACCAUUUACUACACCUCUGCUGGAGGCCCCGGUCAAAGUAUGCUGCGGCUGCAAGAUGCCGACCGGGCUGUUUCGUGGUCCUCCCGCUUUUAGCUACAUUUAUGCAGUAAAUAAAUAAGAGUGGUUUUGUUUUA
rnacentral:lncRNA from 1 species